UGUGGUGGCGAUAGCAACGAGGAGACACCUGUUCCCAUGCCGAACACAGAAGUUAAGCUCGUUUACGCCGAAGGUAGUUGGGGGUUGCCUCCUGUGAGACUAGGGAGUCGCCACGC
rfam:Pilibacter termitis strain ATCC BAA-1030 genome assembly, contig: EI49DRAFT_scaffold00010.10